CGACGACGACGACAAUAAUAAUAAUAAUAAAAAAAAAAUUCUUCUUGCUUCCGCAAUAAAUCUAGUUGCAGUGAUAUCUUCAAAUGAAACUACAAAUUUCAUAAAAUUUAAUAUACCAUUUUAUAGAUCAUCGAAGUUUUAGAUUGUGAAUGGUCUUUGGCUGGUUCAUACAAAACUUGUGAAUAGACUAUAUAUAUGUUGGCCAUAUAUAAUUCAUUUGACCUUGUAAAGUGUAAUAAGCGGUAAUAAAGCCAAGGUAGAAUCUUGAAGGUUGUUUCAAUUAAAUAUAGAACAUAAUUUUUGGACUUAUAAAUAGGUCCUAAAUUCACAUUUUAGGUUGAAAGUAUGACGAAAACUUUCCCUGAUGUUCUGCAAAGAUUUUUUACAUAUAGCUUGAAUUUCUAUUGAUAUUGCAACUAGGACGAGUGAUGUAGAGAGAAUGAAAUGAAGCAAUCCAAGUUCAAGAGGAUUUGUGUCUUCUGUGGGACUAGCCACGGCAAGAAGAGCAGCUACCAAGCAAUCCACAUUUGUGUCUUCUGAAGAAGAUUUAUUUUUAGUGGUUUCUCUCGUCUUAAUAACUAAAUUCAAAUAAUGGGGAAAAUAAAUGGUAUAUUGGCUUGAGGUGAUGCUUAUCAGUGUUGGCUUAAAAUCUCUGUGAAUCAAGAAACCCCUUUCUAGAAUAUGCAGCGCAAUAUGCUGUAGCAGCAGCCCUUGCGACAUUGGAAAAGGAUAAAAAGGAUUUGUUACACAAACUACUUUUACAAGGUCUUGACAUUACAAUUUUAGGUUGCAAUGACUUCUAUUCAUAUCGGAAUCAGGUGGGGUUUAUCAUGUGAGAUUGGAAAAGGGAAAGUUGGCAGUGGUUUUGAUGUUAGUUCUGCAGUUUAUGGUAGUCAACGAUAUGUUCGCUUUUCACCAGAAGUGCUUUCUUCUGCUCAGGAUGCUGUUUUUUUGAAUGAAUAAAAUUGCAGGAUGUAGUUGAAGGAAAAGCGUUAGAGGAAGUCAUUGGUGAUGUGCUGAAUGGAAAAUGGGACCAUGAGAGGACUACAUAUUGAAUUUGAAUCCCUUAGUAGUUGGUA